GUCUAUUUGUAGUUAUAAAAAGUCUAGCCUGCCCACUGAUAAUAAAGAUAUUUAAAGGGCCGCAGUAUCUUGACUGUGCAAAGGUAGCAUAAUCGUUAGUUUUUUAAUUGAAAUCUUGUAUGAAUGGCUUGACAAGAAAAAGUCUGUCUUUAUAAUUAUUUAUUGAAUUUAACUUUUAAGUGAAAAGGCUUAAAUAAAUUAAAAAGACGAUAAGACCCUAUAAAAUUUAAUAUUAAUUAAUUAUUUAGUAAAAUUUUGUUAUAUAAACAUUUAAUGAUUGAUUAUUAUUUUGUUGGGGUGAUAAUGGUAAAAUGAUUAUUAACUGUUUAUUGUUUUACUACAAAAAUUGUUGAGUAUAUUUAAUAAAUGAUCCUUGUUGAAGAUUAAGAGUUUAAGUUACUUUAGGGAUAACAGCGUUAUUUUUUUUGAGAGUUCUUAUCGAGAAAAGAGUUUGCGACCUCGAUGUUGAAUUAAAAUAUCUAUAUAAUUGUAGCAGUUAUAUAAGAAGGUCUGUUCGACCUUUAAAUUUUUACAUGAUUUGAGUUCAAACCGGUGUAAG
rnacentral:rRNA from 1 species